UACGAAGGGGGCUAGCGUUGCUCGGAAUCACUGGGCGUAAAGCGCGCGUAGGCGGACUCUUAAGUCGGUGGUGAAAUCCUGGAGCUCAACUCCAGAACUGCCUUCGAUACUGGGAGUCUUGAGUCCGGGAGAGGUGAGUGGAACUGCGAGUGUAGAGGUGAAAUUCGUAGAUAUUCGCAAGAACACCAGUGGCGAAGGCGGCUCACUGGCCCGGUACUGACGCUGAGGUGCGAAAGCGUGGGGAGCAAACAGG
rnacentral:rRNA from 1 species